rnacentral:hammerhead_ribozyme from 1 species
AUCCAGGUGACGAGUCCCGAAUAGGACGAAACGCGCGUCCUGGAU